rnacentral:lncRNA from 10 species
CUGUCACGUACCCCCUAGCUUGCUCAAUCAGUCACGACCCUCUCGUGUGAAACCUUUAGCAUUGUGAGCUCUUAAAAGGGACAGAAAUUGUGCACUCAGGGAGCUCGGAUUUUAAGACGCUAGUCUGCCAACACUUCCAGCUGAAUAAAGCCCCUUCCUUCUACAACUUGGUGUCUGAGGGGUUUUGUCUGUGGCUUGUCCUGCUACAUUUCUUGGUUCCCUGACUGGGAAAUGAGGUGAUUAACUGACAGACGGUCGAGGCAGCUCCUUAGGUGGCUUACACUUCCCUGUGGAGCAUCCCUGCGGGGGACUCUGGCCAGCUUGAGCAAUGCGGAUCCUGAAAGGGCUCCUGGGUAGGCCUUUUCCCCGGUGGAACACAUCAUCAGAGCGGUGCAUGGCAGGUCCCCACAGAGGAUCAACGUAGUUGCUGAACACCAGGAAGGAGCUGGCACUUGGAGUUCGGACAUCUGAAACUCGUAGACAAGAAAUGCACCAUAUCCCCCUGCCUGGAUGGGUGUUUUUGGAGAAGAACAAGCAUAUAGACUAAAAUCCUCUGUUUGGAAACCAGCCCAAUUCAAGGAGGGUUUUGAUGCACUGUGGUGAAUUUUUGGCAAUGAGCGGGUCAGCAGCUUAAUAGAGAAGAUAACCUCCACGGGAAUGGCAGGAUCCACAGCCGAAGAGGCCGCGGCGCCAGCGCCGGCUUCAGGCUCCACGUCCCCGUUGAAUAGAGCCUCACCGGGCUCCGCACUGCCACCACCGCCACUGCUCAGCACCGCCAUCUUAUCAUAUGUUUUUAUUUAUCUGGGAUAAAUGCCCCCAAAUUCAGUUACUGUGUCAUGUGGUAAUUGCAUGUUUACUUUUUAAAGAAACUUCCAAGCUGUCAAGGACAAGGCAGGUGAAGGCAGUCAAGGGCAAAGCAAUAAUAGCAAUAACAAUAAUAAUAAUGAUAAGGCAGACUCACUCCAAAAGGGAGAAUACUAAGGAUGCUGGACAAGGUCUUAAGAUGGCACAGCUAAAAGACAAAAUAAAAGCUUUAUAGCUUUUUUCGUAUGCUGAUCAACAGUGCAGCUCCAGAAGAGUGAAGUUAAACAGAAUGGUGAAAUUCCUUUAUUGCUCCUCCCCAUACACUGACUACCAAAGCAAGAUGACUUGCUACCUCAGUAACUAUGAUUCCACCUUUACUUAAUAGCAUUAAGGAUGGCCGAACAGACUGCAACAGAGAGAUAUUAGGUUCUUCAUUUUGUAGGGCUGGGGCUACAGAGAAAAAUAAAUAGCAAAGAGUCUUAGAAGCAAAUACUUCCCCAAAUCUCCCAGAAUAGGCUAUCCAGCUGUACUACCCACCUCCAUUUUCCCAGAACUGGUAGAGCUUCAGGAGAACAUGGCUUGAAACAUGCCCCUAAAUAGUAGGUUUUAAGGGCCUAUACUACAUUUAAAUCAUUCUAUGUUAAGUAUUUGAGACAUUUACAAGUAUAGAAGUUAGAAAAAUUGGGUUUAAGUGGAUAAAGUACCAGAGCAGGAAGUCAAUGGAGUGUAAUGGUUAAGGAUGUGGAUACUGACAGACUAUGGCUGAUAUUCCUAACAUACAAAGAAGUCUUAAAAAUUGAAAGAAUAAAACCAAAAACCCAAUAGAAAAAUAGGGAAAAUACAUAAACAGACAAUUCACACAAAAGAUAUAAAAACUAUCCUCAAACAUAUGAAAAGAUGUUCAAACUCAGAAUUAGAGAAAUGCAAAGUAAAAAUACACUGAGACACAAUUUCUCACCUAUCAGACUGGCAAAAAAAAAUGACAACAUAUUCUGUUGGUGAAGCUGCGAGGAAACAGGCACUCUCAUACGUUCAUGGUGAGAAAGCAAACUGCUACAACACUUCUGGUGGCAAAUCUGCAAUACCUAAUAAAUCUACACAUGUCCUUACUUUUUUAAAAAAAGUAACACCUUUAUUGAAAUAAAAUUUACCUACUAUACAAUUCACCCAUUUAAAGUGAAUACACCCAUACAAUUUAAUGAUUUUUCAUAAAUUCACAGUUGUGUAACCAUCACCACAAUCAGUUUUACAUCAUUUUCAUCACCUCUAAAAUAAAUUGCAUUCACAAUAGCAGUCGCUCCUCAUUUCCCCUCAUAGCUCUCCCCACCCCUAUCACUGGGGUGGGGAGAGCAACCACUAAUACCUACUUUCUGUCUCUAAAUAGCAGAGAGGCAUAUGGGAAGAUAUAAGACUGAACAUUCACAGCAAUCAUGGGGAGAAUACUAGACUUGCACAGGUUAUAAAAUUGAGGAUUCAAGCUAUAUUUACCUAAAUUCCCAGGGAAAGGGAAGUUCUAAGUCACAUCUCCUUAAAAGUGAAUGACACUCUUGAUUUUAGACCAGGUAUACCACUCUCCCUUCUAGGUCAACCUCGAGAAAUUUGCUUUUAAGAAUAAAAGAGAAGCUCUUGAAUUAUGCCUUGUUGAGCCGUGGCAUCCACAUGAUUCUAGAAAGAACAUCAGAAGUUCUAUACCAAGAAGCCCUCCAGACAAUCAAGGAAGUUUAGCAGCUCUGGAGUUGCUAGAUAUUACUGAUAGCUCUUUAUCAUCCUUUCAUAAUGACUACUCCAUUAAAUUACUUUUCCAGAAAAGGAAAGAGUUAUACAGAAAAUAGUUUUGCACUCCAGGAGCUAAAAACUUUUAUCUCAUAAUAUUGGCCUAUGAAUAUCCAACCAUUUACCCAGGCAAAUUAUUUCUCUGUUACUAAUUUUCAAAAAAAGUUGGUCAUGGCUAAAGGCAGCUACCCAAUGUGAGAAAAGAAAGUUGAUGAUCAAGGCCAUUACUGAGACAUGAAUAUAUCACAUUGAAAAAUCCCAAAAUUUCAUGGAGGUCUAAUGUAGCUAUCACAACUUACAGCAUCAGAGGCCAGAAAAACUCAGUCUAUACCAAGUGAGGUAGACUUUCUUUUAUAGAUAACUUUCCCUUUUCCUAUUAUCCUGAAGUUAAAACAGGCCCCCAAUCUUAGGAGGUAGCAGAGGAAUAUGAUUCUGAAAGAUUAUCUGGCCUGAGAACAUUCUGAUUAUCAAUUUCAGCUAUAGCACAUUAGAUAAAUGGUGAGCGAUAAAGAUUUAAUUUAGCAGGCCUGAGACUGCUAUUCUUAGAAGGGCCUAGUUACAAGGUUGGCCCUUAGCUGACAUCUUCAACCUUGGUUCUGGAGUAUUCUCAGUCAACAGAUAACUUAUUAGGGAGGCACACUGUAGAUUAUAUGUGCAAGCUAUAUGAUUUUUGCUGAACACCUACCUUCCUGCUGAAUCCGGCAAUUUGGCAUGUGCCAGGCAGGGAGUGCUUGUGUGAUUAGUCCCCAGUAAAAAUCUUGGGUCCUGAGUCUCUAGUGUGCUUCCAUGGUAGAAAUCAUUUCACACAAGUUGCUGCAUUUUCAUUGCUGGGCUAAAUGUGCACUCUGUGUCACCCCUCUUAGAGAAGGAGAGCAUACAAGGCUUGCACAGGGAUUUCUCUAGACUUCACCUGUGUCUUUUUCCUUUAUAAUCUAGUUGUGUAUCCUUAUUGCAUCACUAGAAUAACUCUUAACCGUCCAUAAAACUAUGUGCAGGCAAGAUGAUGGAAUAGAAAGCUCCACCAAUCAUCCCCAUCACAAGGACACCAAGUUAACAACUAUCUACACAGAAGAAAAAAAAUACCUUCAUAAGAACCAAAAAUCAGGUGAGCAUUCAUAGUACCUGGAUUUAACUUCAUAUUGUUGAAAGAGGCACUGAAGAGACAAAAGUCCUGAAUUGCUGAUGCUACCCCUCCUCCACUCUGGCAGCCACAGAGUGGUGCAGAGAGCUUCUCUAGGCACUGGGGGAAAAAGAACACAGCAGUUAUUACCCAAUGAACUCAGUGAUGUCCAGUUAGAGCAGAAAGGAAAACCAGACCAAACUCAGCUGAUGCCCACUUACGAAGGGAGCAUUUAAAUCAGACCUUGCCAGAGGAAAAUUAUCAAUUCUAGAAGUCCAAACUUGAGUGCCUGCAAACCUCACCACUAAAGACAAUAGAAUCCUGUGUCCCCAAGUAAACUUGAAAAGCAGUCUAGGACAUAAGAACUGCAACUCUUAGGUGAGUUCUAGUGCUAAAUUAGGCCUGGAGACAGUGAACUGAGUGAGCACAUGACAUACUAAGACAUCAGCUGGGGCAGCCAAGGGAAUAUUGCCAUCACCCCUCCAUAACUUCAGGCUGCACAGCUCAUGGCUUCAAAAGAGACUCCUUCCUUCCACUUGAGGAGAAGAGAGAGAAGAGAGGGGAGAACUUUAUCUUACAUCUAAGAUACCAGCUAAGCCACAGCAGGAUAGGGCACUGGUCAGAGUCCUAAGGGCCCCAUUCUAGGCCCUAGAUCCCAGACAUUUCUAAACACACCCUGGGCCAGAAGAGAACCUGCUGCCUUGAAGGAAAGGACCCAGUCCUGACAGCAUUUAUCACAUGCCAACUGAAGAGCCCUUCGACCCUAAAUAAUGAGCAGUGACACCCGCCUUGGGUGAAUGGCUAAGACUUGUUGGCUUCAGGUGAGACUCACAGCACAUGACCAGCUGUGGUGGCUACAGGGCAAAACUCCAUCUGCUUGAGAAAAGCAGAGAAAAAAGGAAAGGGGACUUUGUCUUUCACAUUAGGUACCAGCAUGGCCACAGUGGGGUAGAGCAAUUCCAGGACUUGAAUCUUGGACAGCAUUUCUGGACCUGCCCUGGGCCAAAGGUGAGAAUAUUGUCCUGAAGGGUGAGUCCCAGGCCAGGGAGCAUUCAUAACAAGCUGACUUAAGAGACUUUGGGUGUUAAGGGAGUAUAAGCAAUAGUCUGGCAGUACUCUUUGUGGGCUGGGGUGGCAGUAGCUAGGAAAUGAGGUUCCUUUGCCUUUGAAAAGGGGAGGGAAGAGUUUUUAAAAAUGUGUUUUGUGGUUUGACUGCCAGCACAGUCACAAAGCAAUAGAACACUUGGUAGACUUCAAAGGAAUUUGACUGUAGUCCGUGAAUUCCAAACAGCACUUCUGGACCCACCAGGGAAUUGGGGGACCUUGCCUCCCUGAAAGGAAGGACACAGUCCAGGCUAGCUUUGCCACUUGAUGAUUGUAGAGCCCCAGGACUUUUGAGUGAACACAGGAAAUAGAAAGGGAGGGGUCACAGCAGGCCUUAGGCUAGAUCCAGCACUGGGCUGGCUUCAGGUCUGACCCAGUAUAGCCAUAGUGGUGGUGGCCACAGGGUUGCUUGUGCCACCCAUUCCCAGCUUUAGGUGGCUUAGAAAGAGAGAUUCUUUUUUGGAAGAAAGUAAGGGAAGAGAACAAGUCUCUGCCUGGUAAUUCAGAGAAUUCUUCCCCAUCUUGUCCAAGACCAUGAAGAGGAUACCUCUAUAAGUCGGUGAAAACCACAAUGUUACUAUAUUUGGGGUGUCCCCUAGAGCAGAAGCAGCUUAGGUCAUGACACCCAAGUCCUUUCAAAUACUAGAAAACCUUCCCAAGAAGGGCAGCUACAAAUAAGCCCAGAGUGAAGACUAUAAUAAACACCUAACCUUUCAAUGCCCAGACAAAAAAGAACACCUACUAGCAUCAAUAUCAACCAGGAAAAUAUGACUUUAUCAAAUGAACUAAGUAAGAGCCCAGGAUGAAUCCUGGAGAAACAGAGAUAUGUGACUUUUCAGACAAAGAAUUCAAAAUAGCUGUGUUGAGAAAAAUCAAAUAAAAGCAUUCCUACAGGACUUAGAUAAUAACCUCAAAAGGACAAACUAAGAGUUAUUGCCCUAAAACAGGAAGUAGAGAAAUAGACAGGAAUAGAAAGUUUAUUCAAAGGCAUAACAGAGAA